rnacentral:rRNA from 2 species
GGACUACUCGGGUAUCUAAUCCCGUUUGCUCCCCUGGCUUUCGUGCCUCAGCGUCAGGAAAUGUCCAGAGACUCGCCUUCGCCACUGGUGUUCCACUUGAUAUCUACGCAUUUCACUGCUACACCAAGUAUUCCAGUCUCCCCUCCAUUCCUCGAGUAAGAUAGUAUCCACUGCAGUUUCCGAGUUAAGCUCGGAGAUUUCACAACAGACUUACCUUACCGCCUACGCACCCUUUACGCCCAGUGAAUCCGAACAACGCUUGGGACCUCUGUAUUACCGCGGCUGCUGGCAC